GAUGAACGCUGGCGGCGUGCCUAAUACAUGCAAGUCGAGCGAAUGGAUUAAGAGCUUGCUCUUAUGAGGUUAGCGGCGGACGGGUGAGUAACACGUGGGUAACCUGCCCAUAAGACUGGGAUAACUCCGGGAAACCGGGGCUAAUACCGGAUAACAUUUUGAACCGCAUGGUUCGAAAUUGAAAGGCGGCUUCGGCUGUCACUUAUGGAUGGACCCGCGUCGCAUUAGCUAGUUGGUGAGGUAACGGCUCACCAAGGCAACGAUGCGUAGCCGACCUGGGAGGGGGAUCGGCCACACUGGGACUGAGACACGGCCCAGACUCCUACGGGAGGCAGCAGUAGGGAAUCUUCCGCAAUGGACGAAAGUCUGACGGAGCAACGCCGCGUGAGUAAUGAAGGCUUUCGGGUCGUAAAACUCUGUUGUUAGGGAAGAACAAGUGCUAGUUGAAUAAGCUGGCACCUUGACGGUACCUAACCAGAAAGCCACGGCUAACUACGUGCCAGCCGCCGCCGUAA
rnacentral:rRNA from 1 species